NNNNNNNNNNNGGACACCCCCGGCUGCCCCGCCAGGUUGCGAUCAAGUGGACCUAACCUACAGGAGAGCGUUGACGGUCACUCGCUCUCUUGAGGCGCUUCUCCAGCAACAGACACAGAUUUAGGAUUACUGGCCAGUUUAGGAAGUUUAAGUACUCGUAAAUGAAUUCCAGUUGAAAUAAGAUACGUGCUUAAUCGUCAUGGGCUCUUAAUAGGCGACAAAACAACUUUUGUUUUAAUUCGGCUUGGGCUCAUUGAACACAAGCUCUCCAAAUUCAUUUGUAGCCAUUUUUAAGGCCAACAGUUUGGUCACCUUUAUAGAUUAUUAUUAUUUUUUUAAAACCCUAAAAUUGGGUUUCUAGAUGCGCAAAGUCUGAGGGAAUACCUGAAAUCAGAGGGGUUUAUUGACUGUUGUAGGAUAAGAAUAAGGAAGAGCAUGAAAAUAUAUUCAUAAUCUAUCCUUCGGGUUCAAAACAAUUGAUUCCCUUCAUCUGGAUACACGCGCAUAGGUAACGUGAAUUACACUUUUUGGCUAGAUACGGUGGACACGGUUGACACAGCGUUUUCGGUCUGGUUGCUCUUGGAGAAUGAUCUCCAGCAAAUAGGAAUAAAUGAAGAGAGAGGAAGGUGUGGAGUCCAGCUAAUGAGAGUUCUAACACAGGGGAUCGGAAAGGGAUAUAUAAAGGUAACAGCGUGGCAGGGACAGUCAGGCCAGACUGAGCAAGAGGACAGAGUCCUUGGACGAAGUUCUGGGGGAAAAUGGAAUGGAAGCUUAGCUGAUAACUUUGUGCGUUAACUUUGUGCGUUGAGAAAUACUGAUAGACUUCUGCUAGAUGUGAUAGAGCAUGUGGAAAAAUUUAAGGUGUAUUCAUGGAAAACUAAGCUAGGAGGAGGGGGAUGAAAUGAUUGUUAAUCCCAAGAGAAACAAUGACUGUACCAAGAAAGGAAACCUAAUCCUUAGUACAUUCCUUUCAUUGUAUGACCGAUAUUUACAAAAUCGUAAUAACCCUAUCAAUUUAC
rnacentral:lncRNA from 1 species